CCUACGGGGGGCAGCAGUGAGGAAUAUUGGUCAAUGGCCGGAAGGCUGAACCAGCCAAGCCGCGUGAAGGACGAAGGUGCCAAGCAUUGUAAACUUCUUUUGUCAAGGGACAAAAUCAGGCUCGAGAGCCUGACCGAGGGUACUUGAAGAAAAAGCAUCGGCUAACUCCGUGCCAGCAGCCGCGGUAAUACGGAGGAUGCGAGCGUUAUCCGGAUUUAUUGGGUUUAAAGGGUGCGUAGGCGGGCUGUUAAGUCAGUGGUAAAAGCCCGGGGCUCAACCCCGGCGAGCCGUUGAAACUGGCUGUCGUGAGAUGGCGAGAGGUAGGCGGAAUGCGCGGUGUAGCGGUGAAAUGCUUAGAUAUUGCGCAGAACUCCGAUUGCGAAGGCAGCAUACCGGCGGCGAUCUGACGCUGAGGCACGAAAGCGUGGGUAUCGAACAGGAUUAGAUACCCGAGUAGUC
rnacentral:rRNA from 1 species